UUUGUCACCUUGCCCAUUUUGGUCUAUUUUCAACCUUUUCAUCAGCCAUGUCCAGGAGCUUGCCCGUCUUAAUUCAAGUAAAGUUUCUUGCUUUUGGCUUAUUUCAGUUCCCCGAAGCAAUACUUUUCAAAUCUAUGUAUCAAAGAGAGUGAAAAUCUCUGAUUCAGACCAAGACUCCACCAUUUCGAGUAAGAUCUUAAAUCAAAUCUUCAAUACAAGACAAACCUUGGUGAAUUCGAGCAAGUUUGACCUACGUUUACUUCUAAUCAUCCCUUUAAGAUUUCCUUUUCUAACAAAGAGAUGCUUUUCGCUCUGUUAAAAAAAUAGCUAUGAGAUUCGUUCAUAGAGAUUUUCUACCGUUUGAAAAUCCUCGUCUUUAAGAAUCCCGCCCAAAAACAUCCCAAAGAAUCUAGCCUGUAGCUAAAAAUAUCAGCCUUGGGCUUCAUUUCAAAGGAGGAGUUGAACAACACAUCACACCAAAAAACCACUUUUUUUCUAAGAUUUUUGUUCUGGACGUGUUCACGCGAGUCGACUAUUGAGUAUAGAUCUGUGACCCAAGUACCAGUUCGCUGCACCCAAAAAAGAGGCCUAACAUCAUUUCUUUGAUCGAGUCCGGGUAGCAUGAAAGGGAAGCUAAUAUUAUUCGAAGGCCCAGUCAUGGGUGAAAAUAACAUGAAGGCCCAACUAUGGGUGAAAAUAGUAACUGGUGGGCUUAGGUAGGCCCACCAGCCUAAACCCUUCUUUUUCUUAAUACAUUCAUUUUAUGUGAAAAAUUGUAUUUGUAAAAAGAUAUUUGAUAAUUAUUGAAACCUAUGUGAAUGUUAGAACUUAGGGAAUGAUUAGAUAAUUUAGGAAAGUCGCCCAAAAAAUGAUUUCUAAA